AUUGAACGCUGGCGGCAGGCCUAACACAUGCAAGUCGAGCGGAUGAAGGGAGCUUGCUCCUGGAUUCAGCGGCGGACGGGUGAGUAGUGCCUAGGAAUCUGCCUGGUAGUGGGGGAUAACGUCCGGAAACGGGCGCUAAUACCGCAUACGUCCUGAGGGAGAAAGAGGGGGAUCUUCGGACCUCACGCUAUCAGAUGAGCCUAGGUCGGAUUAGCUAGUUGGUGGGGUAAAGGCCUACCAAGGCGACGAUCCGUAACUGGUCUGAGAGGAUGAUCAGUCACACUGGAACUGAGACACGGUCCAGACUCCUACGGGAGGCAGCAGUGGAGAAUAUUGGACGAUGGGCGAAAGCCUGAUCCAGCCAUGCCGCGUGUGUGAAGAAGGUCUUCGGAUUGUAAAGCACUUUAAGUUGGGAGGAAGGGCAGUAAGUUAAUACCUUGCUGUAUUGACGUUACCAACAGAAUAAGCACCGGCUAACUUCGUG
rnacentral:rRNA from 1 species